rnacentral:rRNA from 1 species
AAGGAUCAUUACAGAGUUCAUGCCCGAAAGGGUAGACCUCCCACCCUUGUGUAUCAUUACUUUGUUGCUUUGGCGAGCUGCCUUCGGGCCUUGUGCGCUCGCCAGAGAAUAAUCAAACUCUUUUUAUCAAUGUCGUCUGAGUACUAUAUAAUAGUUAAAACUUUCAACAACGGAUCUCUUGGUUCUGGCAUCGAUGAAGAACGCAGCGAAAUGCGAUAAGUAAUGUGAAUUGCAGAAUUCAGUGAAUCAUCGAAUCUUUGAACGCACAUUGCGCCCCUUGGUAUUCCGGGGGGCAUGCCUGUUCGAGCGUCAUUUCAACCCUCAAGCACAGCUUGGUAUUGAGUCUAUGUCAGUAGUGGCAGGCUCUAAAAUCAGUGGCGGCGCCGCUGGGUCCUGAACGUAGUAAUAUCUCUCGUUACAGGUUCUCAGUGUGCUUCUGGCAAAACACCAAUUUUCUAUGGUUGACCUCGGAUCAGGUAGGGAUACCCGCUGAACUUAA